ACCUCCGUACGGGAGGCAGCAGGUGGGGAAUAUUGCACGAAUCGGGGAAACCCUGAUGCAGCCAUGCCGCGUGUGUGAAGAAGGCCUUCGGGUUGUAAAGCACUUUCAGUAGGGAGGAAGGUAGUGUAGUUAACACCUGCACUAUUUGACGUUACCUACAGAAGAAGCACCGGCUAACUCCGUGCCAGCAGCCGCGGUAAUACGGAGGGUGCGAGCGUUAAUCGGAAUUACU
rnacentral:rRNA from 1 species